AGGAGAUUGUGUAUCAUCUAUUCAUUGUAUUUCUAUUCAUUGUAUUUCUAUUCAUUGUAUUUCUAUCUUCAACAUGCAAUACCAGAUUACAGCCCUGCCAUUAUUUGAAGGCAGCCAAUCCAAUAGUUUCUGAGAUCGGUAUUCAAAAAGUUUAGAAAAAGUAGUACUUUUUUUUGGGGGGGGGGGGGGACACCUGCAUUCAAAUCGUUUUUUUGUCACCUUUAAAGUAACUAUUUGCUGCACCGAGAAGAAAAAAAAGAAGUUGACUUUCCAGACAGUUAAAAGAAUAGUUCUCCCGGUGUCUGUGGUAGGGCGUGUUCUCUGAAGCACAGAGGACAUCUGGUGAUGUGCUGUUGGUGAGGAGGUGCAAAACACAAAAUGGCGAAUGGAAGAGGACGGAAACCACCUAAAAAGAAUCUCAUCAUCAUCAGAGGUUUGCCCGGAGUUGGAAAGAAGAGCCAUGCAAGGAAGAAGAAACUGAGGAAAAACGUAAAGAACAUUUCCAGUAACUUUAUUGAGGAAUAGCAACUUUGCCUAACUUUCUUCAAAGCUCCUUGAUGAAUAUGGAAGACCAGACGUGGCUGGAGGGAUAUACUCUGCUUCCAACUACCAUGCUAUGUUCAACUGGAACAAGUUCCACUUCCCACGUAACCAUCAGUGGAAUAGACGGGAUGUUUUUAGAGCCAUGAAGGAAGGUGUGGAUCCGAUCAUCGUUUACAACAUCCACUGUUUACUUUCUGACAUGUGGCCCUAUGUCUACAUGGGGAUGAGUUGGCGUGACUACCACAUCACUAUAAUAGAGCUGCCUGAAGGUUGUCCUAAAAACGCUUUGUCCAUCAACCAGCUGUACAGGUAAGAGACAACCACUUCGUAGACAUUCUACAUUCUAUAUUCAGAAACUGUCGUGGUAAGAUCCCCAAGCAUAAGUUCAGGUACUGGGAGAAUUACUGGGAAGAAGCUGACGACAUCUGGGAUGUACUUGACGACGGCUCCUCCAUAGACCGCUGGCAGUAUGAAAGAGAGGAAUGGAUCCUCUAGUGAAGACACACCAGUACCUCCAUUUUGUGUGAACUACUGUUUUUAAUAUUUUUUUUUUUAGCUUUUUUCAAAACUACACUUUUAAAGAGUAUUGGUUACCUAGCAACCCCUAGAACCCAACAACAACUCAUACCUUACUGUUGUACUUGUCUUUCUUGCACUGACGCCUGUUUUGGUUGUGUCUGAGGCAUUUUUGGUAUAUCAUAUCGUUGAUCGUUGUUUUGGCACCACUCGAGUUAGAAGUUCAGAACGAGAAACUGUAAGCUAUAUAUAUAUAUAUAUAUAUUUAUAGAAGUAAUGGUCCU
rnacentral:lncRNA from 1 species